GAUGAACGCUGGCGGCGUGCUUAACACAUGCAAGUCGAGCGAAGCACUUUGGUUUGAUUCUUCGGAUGAAGACCUUUGUGACUGAGCGGCGGACGGGUGAGUAACGCGUGGGUAACCUGCCUCAUACAGGGGGAUAACAGUUAGAAAUGACUGCUAAUACCGCAUAAGACCACGGUACCGCAUGGUACAGUGGUAAAAACUCCGGUGGUAUGAGAUGGACCCGCGUCUGAUUAGGUAGUUGGUGGGGUAACGGCCUACCAAGCCGACGAUCAGUAGCCGACCUGAGAGGGUGACCGGCCACAUUGGGACUGAGACACAGCCCAGACUCCUACGGGAGGCAGCAGUGGGGAAUAUUGCACAAUGGAGGAAACUCUGAUGCAGCGACGCCGCGUGAAGGAUGAAGUAUUUCGGUAUGUAAACUUCUAUCAGCAGGGAAGAAAAUGACGGUACCUGACUAAGAAGCCCCGGCUAACUACGUGCCAGCCGCCGCCGUAA
rnacentral:rRNA from 1 species